CAUUAGAGUCAGCACGGUGGCUCUGACUGGUGACCAGGUGGCAACAGUCAGGUCAACGUUUCAGUGCCUUAUAUGCAGAGAUGUGAUGGAAAACCCAGUUGUGGCACCGUGCUGCCGCAGCCUCGUUGGAUGCCGGGUCUGCGUUGAGCAGUGGGCAACUACCUCGCCGCACUGCCCAAAAUGCAGGGACGAGAUGUUCCAAGAAAA